GCUGUAGUAGCUUAAUGGUAAAGCAAAUCACUGUUAAUGAUCUGAUCUCUGUUCAAUUCAGAGCUACGGCU
rnacentral:tRNA from 2 species